GCCGGCUUAGCACAGCGGUAGUGCACCUGAUUUGUAAUCAGGGGGUCACAGGUUCAAAUCCUGUAGCCGGCACCA
rnacentral:tRNA from 1 species